UCCAGCAGUAGUCAGCUGUCCGGAUAGACCCAUUCCUGUGAUGGUGUUACACUGCUGGGAGAGGAACGUCUUCUUCCUCCAGUUGCCUCUGUUACUGUUUUGGUGGCGCCUGGCACUGGUACAAGGCAGAACUAUGCUUCCUUGAGAGUAUGCUGAGCGUUCACUCUGGCCGCUUGGUUCUAGUCAGGGAGCAGACAUA
ensembl:snoRNA SNORA74 Small nucleolar RNA SNORA74